UUAGUCCCCUGGAAAAAUAGAGAUUCUUUCCUCUUCCAAAGAGGUAAAAUCUUUGUUCAAAGAUUUGGGGGUGGUUUUGAACCUUUCUCAGGCUUCUUGUGGGUAUCUUCAAGAGGAUACAAUUCGUAACUCAAGUUUGAUCUUCCUUGCAUAAGAAACAGGAGUAACCUUCGUUGAAAACCAUAAGAACUCACAUCAUAAUCGAAGAAAG
rnacentral:misc_RNA from 1 species